rnacentral:rRNA from 1 species
CCUACGGGUGGCAGCAGUGGGGAAUAUUGGACAAUGGGCGAAAGCCUGAUCCAGCCAUGCCGCGUGUGUGAAGAAGGCCUUCGGGUUGUAAAGCACUUUCAGUGGGGAAGAAAGCCUUGGGGCUAAUACCCUCGAGGAAGGACAUCACCCACAGAAGAAGCACCGGCUAACUCCGUGCCAGCAGCCGCGGUAAUACGGAGGGUGCGAGCGUUAAUCGGAAUUACUGGGCGUAAAGCGCGCGUAGGCGGUCUGAUAAGCCGGUUGUGAAAGCCCCGGGCUCAACCUGGAAACGGCAUCCGGAACUGUCAGGCUAGAGUGCAGGAGAGGAAGGUAGAAUUCCCGGUGUAGCGGUGAAAUGCGUAGAGAUCGGGAGGAAUACCAGUGGCGAAGGCGGCCUUCUGGACUGACACUGACGCUGAGGUGCGAAAGCGUGGGUAGCAAACAGGAUUAGAUACCCCAGUAGUC